rnacentral:misc_RNA from 1 species
GAUGAAGAACGUAGCGAAAUGCGAUACGUAAUGUGAAUUGCAGAAUUCAGUGAAUCAUCGAGUCUUUGAACGCACAUUGCGCCCCCUGGUAUUCCGGGGGGCAUGCCUGUCCGAGCGUCAUUGCCGCCCUCAAGCACGGCUUGUGUGUUGGGCCUCCGUCCUCCUCCCGGGGGACGGGCCCGAAAGGCAGCGGCGGCACCGCGUCCGGUCCUCGAGCGUAUGGGGCUUCGUCACCCGCUCUUGUAGGCCCGGCCGGCGCUUGCCGACACAUCAAUCUUUUUUCCAGGUUGACCUCGGAUCAGGUAGGGAUACCCGCUGAACUUAAGCAUAUCAAUAAGCGGAGGA